rnacentral:lncRNA from 1 species
CUUGUAUGCUGUUUUAGUAUAAAGUUCCUGCAGUUCUUAAACUCUUCCCCUCACUUUGUGUUGAAGAGCAUGCUACAAAAUUCUGUGCUUUGAAAAUUUCAUUGUUCUUACAUGCUGAAAAUUCAGGCAGUCACCAGGAGGAGCCCUGAUGUUAGUGGGAGUACUUGAGCCUUGGGACUCAGGGAACAUGAGAAAAAAUGGAAAGCUUCAGUUUGCAGCAUCUUCCACUGGAAGUAACUUACCGUCUGAGUUAAUACUCAGAAGAGGAAACACUCUACUGGGAUCCUUAUUCAUAUUCUCAGCUAUGACUGUCUGCUUGCAGUUUCUUGCUACAUGAACAAUUACAUUUUUCAUGUAUUGCUCAGACUUUAUACCUUAUGAAUAUGAACAAGAAAUUGGCAAAAACUCACAUCUCUCAUAAUAAAAUUCAAAUGUUUUCCA